UUACUAUUGAAAGUUUGAAAAACUUGACAAAUCUUCAGCAUCUUGGUAUUUCGAGGUUAGAAAAUGUGGGAGAUGUGGGUGAAGUUAAGCGAGCAAACCUUAGGAAUAACACAAACCUCCUCUCUUUAGUUUUAGAUUUUGGAAUUGAAUCUACAUUAAUGCAAAGGGUUGAGCGUGAGAGAGAUGAAAUGGUUGUUGAGGCCUUUGAACCACCUCCAAAUUUAGUGAAAUUAUGUAUAAAGGAUUGUGGAGGUAAAACUAUAAGGCUAAAUUGGAUAGCAUCAUUAACUCAGUUGAGGGAGUUAACACUUAUUCAUUGCUACAACUGUGAGUAUUUGCCUCCUUUCGGAAAGUUAUCAUCUCUUGAAUCACUCUUUAUAGAUUGGCCUUUGAGUGUAAAAAAGGUGGGUAAUGAAUUUUUGGGAAUAGAAAGUGAUGGCAAUGCCAGAUCUUGUAUUGUCUUUCCCAAAUUAAAAAGGCUUGUGUUUGAUCGAAUGAAUGGAUGGGAAGAAUGGGAUGAUAUUACUUUUAAAGGAGAUGAAUUAGCUAUCACAAUCAUGCCAUCUCUACAUUACUUGAAGAUUUCUGGAGCCCACAAAUUAAAAACGCUCCCCAAUUACAUUCUUCAAUCACCAACACUAAAACAAUUGGAGAUAGAGUAUUGCAUUAUUCUAAGUCAGCGUUACAAGAAGGAGACAGGUGAAGAUUGGCACAAGAUCUCUCACAUUCCUGAUGUCACCAUCUUCCCUAAUAAUGUUAGAUUCCUGACACAAGACGAAGACGAGGAAAGUGACGAAGACAGUUAUAGUCUCUCUAUAGAUUACACUCUUCAAUCGCCAACAUGAAAACAAUUCUACGUCCGCAUUACAAGGAGGAGAUAGGUGAAGACUGGCUUGUUGAAAUAUGAUUACAAGAGCUACAAUCGCCAUCCACUCACUGUCGCCAGUUUAUGCAGGCAAGGUGUUUGAAAGAUGAAAUGGAUGAACCAAGGCUUGCGUUUCAGGGGACCUUAUGGAUAUUGCAUUCUAGCUUUCACUCAGAAUGACCUUUUAAAAUGAUUGAUGAAAAGAGCAAUGGACAGACUGGUUGAUGGCUAUUGUGGGAAAGUUUUCCCUGUGAAUGUUUUGGAUGAAUUUGUGUUAUUCUUUGCUGUUAUAAGGUGGCAUCUUCCUCCUACGGCUUUCAAUGCUUUGGCCAUUAUUUCACAACCAAAGACUCUUAAUAAAAUAGGCUUUUGUUGAAUCCUCAUGUGUGUUUUCUAAGGACAACAGGGAAGAGUACGUUUCUUGAGGAGAAAACAAGGCAUCUUGGGAUAGAAUUUGUGCUGAUUUUUUUCUCAAGCGGGACAGACUGAAUGCUGGAGAAACAUUAUUUCUUAUGCAAUGAUGUGUGGUGUACAAUGGAGGAGGCCUAAUAUGGCUUCUAUGAA